CCCAUGGCUCUUUUCCUGCUUCUGAUGCCGUCCCACCCUUUGAAUUGGUCAAGAGGAUUUGGUGCUGAAUCUAUCCAGGAGAGUCCACCACCACUCCCUUUCCCAACCCAGGGUGUAACGGGAUAAAAAGGUGAACCUGGGGCCUGGCACUGUGUCUUGUCUUGUGGUUCCGGUGGGAAAUCUGCUACACCAGGAAUCAGGAGACCAAACUCUGCUACCAACUGCCUCGGUGACACUUGAGUUCUCUUGUGCUUCAGUUUGUACUGUCAAAUGAGUAAAGGAGUUAAACGGG